UUGCGAUAAGUAAUGUGAAUUGCAGAAUUACGUGAAUCAUCGAAUCUUUGAACGCAUAUUGCACUCUCUGGUAAUCCGGGGAGUAUGCCUGUUUGAGGGUCAGUAAAUAAUAAUUAUCAUGAUCUUUUUUGAUUGUGGAAUUGGGCUUUUAUUUCAUUUAAUGAUAUAUGGCCUCAAAUUUAUGUUAUCGCUUGUUAAUAUGAAAUUCGACCAAAUGGAGCAAUUAAACAUUUCUCUCGUUAGGCAGGAUUCAUCAAGCAAUUAUUACGGUUUCUGGCCGCUGUAGGACUUUUUUUACAAGUGCUUGGCCGAGAUCGUGAGUUUUUUUAAACAAAUGACCUCAAAUCAGGCAAGAAUACCCGCUGAACUUAA
rnacentral:misc_RNA from 1 species